UAGCAUAUUUACCUGACGAUAUCAAGAAUUUGGUAUUUAGUCAAAUCUUAACCGGAAGUUGUGAUUCUAAAAUUUAUUAAAUGUAAAUAACAUGUCGAAAUAUUUAAGCUUGAAAUAAAUAUAUUUUUGGAUAAGUUAAUGCAAGCACACGAGGUGUAUAGUGUCUUAUACGAUUACAGGUUUGUAAUGUUUAACAACCAUAUUACAUCAGUGUGUAAACACGUUAAUUAUGAGCUUUGAAAGUCAAGUAGUUCGAGCAUUUUUCUGAGUAAGUGUUAAAAAUUUUCAAACAAAUAUUCUUU
rnacentral:lncRNA from 1 species